rnacentral:rRNA from 1 species
UGGUCUUGACAUCCUGCGAACUUUCUAGAAAUAGAUUGGUGCCUUCGGGAACGCAGUGACAGGUGCUGCAUGGCUGUCGUCAGCUCGUGUCGUGAGAUGUUGGGUUAAGUCCCGUAACGAGCGCAACCCCUAUCCUUAUUUGCCAGCACAUUAUGGUGGGAACUAUAAGGAGACUGCCGGUGAUAAACCGGAGGAAGGCGGGGACGACGUCAAGUCAUCAUGGCCCUUACGACCAGGGCUACACACGUGCUACAAUGGGAAGUACAAAGAGUCGCGAAGCCGCGAGGUGUAGCUAAUCUCACAAAUCUUCUCGUAGUCCGGAUUGGAGUCUGCAACUCGACUCCAUGAAGUCGGAAUCGCUAGUAAUCGUAGAUCAGAAUGCUACGGUGAAUACGUUCCCGGGUCU